UGGGUGGCAACAAGAAAUGAACCAAAAAAACAAACAAAGAGCCUUGAUCCAGUUAAAAUAAUUUUAUUUUCCAGACGCAGGGCUAAUGGUUGGAAGAUACUGGCCUAAUAGGGUGGCAGCGAACUUAAAAAAAUAGGAUUUCUAAGGAGUUACUUUUUUCAGCACAGAGAAGCUUCUUGAAGGAGGUAUUCAAUUCAUAUUUUGGAGAAGCUUUCUACCUCCAAACAAACCACACUGCUAGGAGGUCAGUAUUUGACUUAAUUCUUUUCCCCCUGCAAUCUAGGCAUCUUCUGAUUUGUUUUUUGUUUUUGUUUUUUCCGAAAUUAAAACUGUGGAUUGUUUGGAAGCUAACAAUACAAACUGUUUGGAAGGAAUAGCUUCUCUCUGUCCUAUAUUUACCAAAGAGAGAGAGAGAGAGAGAGAGAGAGAGAGAGAGAGAGAGAUGCCCCCAAUGAAAACAUAGCAUUGUGCUCCUUUCUGUGGGCUUUGAAGGUGCACAUUUAUGAAAACGGCUCUAAUUGAAUGACUAAGUAUAACACUUUGACAGAUCGUCUUUCAUUCAUUGCUAACAAGUACUGCAUUACAUCUUUGUAAUGAACAUGAAAAUGACAGUUAGCCCUCAUCACUCGGGAAGCCUGGGCCGAUUCCUUCCUAUCUGAGUGAGAGCUCCUAUGUCACCCGUGUUCCAGUAAUCCUGAACAGUGUGCAGGGCACCCAUCCUCAAAUGCCUCUGGUCAUUUGUGCCUUUGUCAGAGAGAGAUCAAAGGAAGAGCAGAGGCUUAGAGUUUAUUUUAAAAUCUUUCAUUUUAGAAAGGAAAGGAGCAUUUUAAGAUAAUAAAAUAAAGCAAAGACCCCUCGGAGGUGAUUGGUUUGGAUCCUACUUCUUUCCACUUGCUACCCUGUUGUUUCUUUGGAUCUCAAAGUCAAGCCAUGGAACUGCAAC
rnacentral:lncRNA from 1 species